UAAAACUGUGACCACCGCUCAAGCCGGAGGCCGCUGUCGUGGUCGCAGCCGUCGACGCCCGGAGGCCCUUCCUCCCCUCCCUCGGGCACGGUGAGCUCGGCCGCCACCUUCCUUGGUCGCGGCGAGUUCGGCCGCAGCCGUGGGCCGCGCUGGUGGGUUUCUUUCCCCCACCGCAGUGGGAACGAGGGAGCCGUCGCCUCCGACCGCGAGCUCGGCCGGGGACGCCAUGGGCUCGGCCGCCGGGGCUCGGCCCCUCCGGAGAUCACCUUCCUCCCUUCGCGGGAGAAGAAAGGGGGAAAGAAAAGAGGGAUCGGGAGAAGAGAAGAAAGGGAGGAGGAGGGAGAAGAGAAGAAAGAGAAGAGAGGGAAAGGAAGGUUCGGG
rnacentral:lncRNA from 1 species